UUUUUCUUCUUUUCUUUUCUUUUCUAGACUAUGUUCUGGGGUGUGUAAAUGGAAUAGGAAGAGAUUACAGAGGAAGAAAGUCCAGAACAAACUCAGGAAAGAUCUGUCAAAGAUGGGACUCAAGCUACCCACACAGGCCAAAUUUCACGCCGCAGAGCCACCCACAAGCAGAGCUUUACUCCAACUUCUGCAGAAACCCUGAUGGGGACAGCAAUGGACCAUGGUGUUACACUACGGAUCCUAAUGCCCGCUGGGAGCACUGCAACGUACCUAGUUGCUCUGGGUGACAGAGGUGGUCCUCUGGUUUGUUAUGAGCAGAACAGGUUUGUCCUUCAGGGUGUCACAACAUGGGCUGAGGGAUGUAUGUUGGGCAGGACGCCCAGUGUCUACACUCAAGUUUCUAAGUUUGUGGACUGGAUCGAUGCAACCAAAGCCAACUAAAAGCUAUCAGCCGUAAUACCGUUGUUGAGGAUGUCUUAACAUGUAUACUUUGUUCUGCUCUGACGUGAACAUUUUUAUCAAGUAUUUUUUAUUAAGUAUGGAUACACAUUAAGUAGUGCAUGAAAAUCACAAAUUCUGCUAGAGAAGAAAAAUACAAGUUAAACAAAAUCAGAAAAUCACACUUUAUACAAGAUGAUUUUGAGUGAAAUAAAAAGUGGCUAUACAGUUAUUUAUCUGUUCUGAUUUUAAAAAAAAAGAUUCUAUUUAUUAUGUUAUAUUAUAAUAUUUGGUGAUUGACAAA